rnacentral:lncRNA from 1 species
CACUUUCAUGUGAUCCAGGCAGAAAGGGGAUCCAUACACCAGCUAGGAGAGAAGGAGUGCAGAAGAUUAUAAAAAUCAGUGGUAAAUUGAAUGGUGUAUUUUCAUUUUUAGUCUAGAGGAAAACUGACUGAGCUGUGCUUUCCCCUACUCGGAGUCCUCCGGUCCUCCUGGGUUAGAUCCUCUUUUGAUCAAGGAAGAGUUGGAGCUCCCUGGAGGAAGAAGCGUGGAUGAAAGGUCACAG